AUAGGUUAAUAAUGCAUGAACAAAACGGUGUUUUAACCGCAAGUGCAUGCUAACAUUAUGGGAUUCCAUUCCCCAGAUUUCGCUCAUAGCCUAGCCAUAGAAAGAAAGAGCCGUAAAAAUCAACAAAAUCUCCGUGGACCGACCUUAGUGUGCUUUUUUUUCUCUAAACUUGAUCAUCAGACUCUGCCCCGCCUAUUUGUCAACCCAGGAGCCACUACUUUUUCAUAGUGUGUUAU